AGAUUGAACGCUGGCGGCAGGCCUAACACAUGCAAGUCGAGCGGUAGAGAGGUGCUUGCACCUCUUGAGAGCGGCGGACGGGUGAGUAAUGCCUAGGAAUCUGCCUAGUGGUGGGGGAUAACGUUCGGAAACGGACGCUAAUACCGCAUACGUCCUACGGGAGAAAGCGGGGGACCUUCGGGCCUCGCGCCAUUAGAUGAGCCUAGGUCGGAUUAGCUAGUUGGUGAGGUAAUGGCUCACCAAGGCGACGAUCCGUAACUGGUCUGAGAGGAUGACCAGUCACACUGGAACUGAGACACGGUCCAGACUCCUACGGGAGGCAGCAGUGGGGAAUAUUGGACAAUGGGCGAAAGCCUGAUCCAGCCAUGCCGCGUGUGUGAAGAAGGUCUUCGGAUUGUAAAGCACUUUAAGUGGAGAAGGUUGUAACUUAAUACGUUGCAACUUUGACGUUACCGACAGAAUAAGCAACCGGCUAACUUCGUAGCCAGCAGCCG
rnacentral:rRNA from 1 species